rnacentral:misc_RNA from 1 species
CGCGCGACAUUGUGUCACACGACUUUACGUUUUUUUUUACUUAUAAAUCGAUAAUUUUGUAAUUGAUCGAGUGGUUCGAAUUCAUUCGUGAUAAAAUUAUGACGCCGGUUAUUUAGGGAUGAUAUUUGUUUUGUCGUUUUUUUUGUACUUAUUUUAGAUUUUAAAUACAUUAAGGAUAUUAAACACUUUGUUAAACAGAUGAUGGGCAUAAAAAUAGUAGCCGAGUACCUUAAUAGAAGUUUCUACAAUCUGGGUCUGGUUGUGGGAAAGCAUCCAGGUUACUUCCUAAUUAUGCCAGUUUUAAUCACUUUACUGGGCAUGACUGGAUACCAAAGAAUACAUAAUAAUAUCGAUCCAGAGUAUUUGUUUAGUCCGGUUAAUGGACAAGGGAAAAUGGAGAGGGCCAUAGUGGAGGAAUAUUUUAAAGUUAAUUAUACCAGUAGGUUUAACGUUGCGAGGAUUACUAGAGCAGGUAGAUUUGGAAGAUUGAUAAUAACAUCCAAAGAUGAUAACAAGGACAUGCUUCGAAUGAGCGUAUGGAAGGAAAUGCGUGAAUUGGAUAAUCUCAUACAAGAUAUGACGGUGGAAUAUAAGGGAGAAUAUUUCAAUUACAGUAGCAUCUGUGCCAAAUGGAUGGACGAUUGUUUUUUUAACGAUAUUUUGAAUUUGGAGUAUGUUAUAGACAAGGUUGAAUUAGGGGAAUGGCAAUUAACAUUCCCUUUAACUUUGAACAUCAUGACUCUGGAUGUGCACGUGCUCCCUGUUUUCUUUGGAGGAACCCAAGUGACCGAGGAGGGAUUUGUUAAGAGCGUCCCAUCAGUGCAAUUAGUCUAUUUUGGGAAUGCUGAUACGAAAAAAAUGGACACUCUUGGUGCCUCCUGGGAAGAUGCUUUUCUUGACCUCAUAGAGAGAGUGCAGGAUAUAGAAAAUAGGUUUAGGCAUAUCAGAAUUGCUAGGUUUACCUCCAGGACACUCGAUCAUGAGCUGGAGAAGAAUACUCAUUCUGUGAUACCGUAUUUUACUUCGACAUUUUUAAUUAUGGCCAUAUUUUCUGUAGUGACUUGUAUGAUGACUGAUUGGGUACGAUCCAAACCAUGGCUUGGCCUAUUAGGGAAUCUCAGUGCUGCCAUGGCCACACUUUGUGCCUUCGGGUUUUGCAUGUAUGCGGGGGUCGAUUUUAUUGGAAUCAAUUUGGCUGCUCCAUUUUUAAUGAUUGGAAUUGGAAUAGACGACACAUUUGUAAUGUUGGCGGCAUGGAGAAGAACUUCUAUAAAAUCCCCAGUUCCGGAACGGAUAGCGCAAAUGUUAAGCGAAGCGGCAGUUUCCAUUACGAUAACAUCAGUAACGGAUUUUUUCAGUUUCUGGAUCGGAAUUUUCAGUCCUUUUCCUUCUGUUACUAUUUUCUGUAUUUACUCUGGUGCUGCCACUAUACUUUUGUUCAUUUGGCAUUUGACAUUUUUCACCGCCUGCGUGGCUAUUUCCGGUUAUUGCGAGCAAAAAAACCUCCAUUCGGUGUUUUGUUUCAAAGUACAGCCUCUAUCAAAAUCAGAAGACAGAUAUUGGCUCUACAGAGCCUUCUGCAGUGGCGGUUUUAACCCUGAUGAUGCAGACAAUCCAAAAGAUAACAAUGAGCAUGGAGUUAUGAUCUUCUUUAAAGAUUAUUUUGCUGCAUUUUUAAACAAUGGAUAUGUUAAAUUUCUAGUGAUUUUAAUAUUCGGUCUCUAUUUGGUGGGAGCUAGUUACGGAAUUACUAAAAUCAAAGAGGGAUUAGAAAGGAGGAAAGUUACCCAAAAUGGGUCGUAUGCCAUCGAGUUUUUCGAUCGGGAGGAUGAUUAUUAUCGAGAGUUUCCCUAUAGAUUACAAGUGAUUGUGGCAGGUGACUAUGACUACUCAGAUCCAAAAGUUCAACAGAAAGUAGAAAAACUAACUCAAACUUUCGAAAAUACUUCAUACGUUACCAACAUUUAUACUGAGUCCUGGUUAAGAGACUUUUUAAAUUAUAUAGAAAGAAAUUUUGAUGAUCACAAUACCCCAACCAAUACUACAAAAGGUUUUAUAGAUGCACUAGAAGAACAUAAAUGGCUUGACCCAUCAAGCUCUUACUCUUUGGACGUCAGAUUCGAUGAGAAACACGAAAAAAUUAUCGCCAUGAGAUUUCUCAUUCAAGCAGUGAACAUUUCUGGCACAGAGCAUGAAAAGGAAAUGGUCAGAGCCCUUAGGAAAAUUUGCGAAGAUUCACCUCUUAAUGUCACAGUAUUUCAUCCAUAUUUUGUAUUUUUUGACCAGUUUGAGCUAGUACGUCCCUUAACAAUACAGAACAUCAUCAUAGGAGGUGCAAUAAUGAUGAUAGUGUCGUUCAUAUUCAUCCCAAAUAUUUUCUGUGCCUUUUGGGUGGCAUUCAGUAUUGUAUCCAUCGAGGCUGGUGUAGUGGGAUAUAUGGCACUAUGGAAAGUAAAUCUGGAUUCCAUUUCCAUGAUUAACCUGAUCAUGUGUAUUGGGUUCAGUGUGGACUUUACGGCACAUAUUUGUUAUGCCUAUAUGUCUUCUCCGGAGAACGCGCCCAAAGGGAAGAUGAGGGACGCAUUGUAUGCACUGGGAUUACCCAUUUUCCAAGGUUCUGUAAGCACCAUCUUGGGUAUGCUUGCGCUGAUCCUCGCCAACAAUUACAUCUUCGCCGUCUUCUUUAAAAUGAUCUUCUUGGUAGUAUUUCUAGGGGCCAUGCACGGAUUAUUCCUACUUCCCGUGCUCCUCUCUCUCUUUGCUCCCGGAUCCUGUACCAACCACAACGAAGAAGAUAAAGACCUAAAAUUAUCCAACGUGCAAAAAUCUUUGUCGCAUCCGUACAGCAUUCCGCAUCCCCAGUUCACUUUGAACGGCAGUAAUUUGAAACAUCCUGGGAUAUAUAUUAAGGAACCUUAUAGAGAAAUGAACGAUAAAGACCUGGGAUUGGGAACAUCGGAGGAAAACUCGAGUGAGUCGUCCACUCACUCCCAUAAAAAGCCGAGAGUGGAGAUACAACCUUACAGGGAAGUAUGAAGGAGUUCGGAGGUGGGUCAUAAGCAUCCUCACAACGACAGUUAUGACUCGGUGGAGUUUUAUAGGUCUAGAAAUGAGGAGUUUGAGGAUGACGAAAAGCCUCCCAGGUUCCACAAUCAGAGGAGAGUGUCUCCGCUUUCCAACAUGCAAAGAAGACUGGAGAAGUAUCGCAUCCGGUUUUGAAUCCCGAUGGAAUUUUCCUAACUGUGCAGGAGCCCCAGACGGAAAGCAUAUUCGAAUAGUACCACCACCAAGAACAGGUGCUCUGUAUUAUAACUAUAAAAAAUUUUAAAGCGUUAUUCUGAUAGCGUUAGUGAAAGCGAAUUGCGAGUUUAUUUAUGUGGGCUCGUAAAUAUCAUCGCUUGCUGCCCCAAUCCUUUGUGAAUUUAAAACUUUUUUCAGUUCCUUUCGAAAGCAUCCACGCAAAUUUUUUUGUAAACGAAAUCACAAUCUGCCUUAGGAUAGACUUUUUUAGAAUAUUCCACCAAAUUUUCAUAACCUCUGUUCUUUAAAUUUUUGUUUGAGUAUUCGUUAGAUUUUGUUUUCCAUAAUGCCGGAUGAAUUUUAUAUAUUUCGAUAAAUCCUGACAGAAAUUCUUUUCCCAUAAACCAUCAAUAUUUUCACUCA